ACGGAAGGCAGCAGUGGGGAAUAUUGCACAAUGGGCGGAAGCCUGAUGCAGCGAUGCCGCGUGGAGGAAGAAGGUUUUCGGAUUGUAAACUCCUUUUAUCAGGGACGAUAGUGACGGUACCUGAAGGAAAAGCUCCGGCUAACUACGUGCCAGCAGCCGCGGUAAUACGUAGGGAGCGAGCGUUGUCCGGAAUUACUGGGUGUAAAGGGUGCGUAGGCGGGGAUGCAAGUCAGAUGUGAAAUGUAUGGGCUCAACCCAUGAACUGCAUUUGAAACUGCAACUCUUGAGUGAGGUAGAGGUAAGCGGAAUUCCUAGUGUAGCGGUGAAAUGCGUAGAUAUUAGGAGGAACAUCGGUGGCGAAGGCGGCUUACUGGGCCUUUACUGACGCUGAGGCACGAAAGCGUGGGGAGCAAACAGGAUUAGAUACCCUGGUA
rnacentral:rRNA from 1 species